UAUCUCUGUAGAGUCUGCAUAUCAAUAAGCGGAGGAAAAGAAACUAACAUAGGAUUCCCUCAGUAACGGCGAGUGAAGCGGGAAGAGCUCAAAUUUGAAAUCUUCAAGGGUUCUACCUUUACGAAUUGUAGUUUAAAGAAGUGUUUUCUGUUGGAGUUUCGGUAAAAGUUCUUUGGAAUAGGACAUCAUAGAGGGUGAGAAUCCCGUAUUUGACCAGUUACUUUCCAGCUGUGUGAUACACUUUCAAAGAGUCGGAUUGUUUGGGAAUGCAGUCCAAAAUGGGUGGUAAAUUUCAUCUAAAGCUAAAUACUGGCGAGAGACCGAUAGCGAACAAGUACCGUAAGGGAAAGAUGAAAAGAACUUUGAAAAGAGAAUUAAACAGUACGUGAAAUUGUCAAAAGGGAAGCGUUUGACACCAGUGUUGUUUUCUCGAAAAUCAAUUAAAAAUGCUGGAUUUUGUGUUGUAUUGACUUUAUCAGCUUUCUGCACUUUUUCCUGUCUUUUUUAAUGCACUUUUCGUUUAACAAGUCAACAUCAAUUUCUUUUGUUGUAAAAGGGUCAUUGGAAGGUGGCUUUCUUUUCGGAGAAAGUGUUUAUAGCCUUUGACUUCUGCAAUCGGAGAGAUUGAGGUCUGCAGCGUAGAUCCUUCGGGGUUAGAUGCAUUUGUGCUAAGUUAUAGCCUUUCAUAGACAACUUGUUGACUAUGAUCAGUCAUGUAGCUUACUCGCUUAUGUCAUUUUACCUACGCUUAGGAUGUUGAUCUCUCACAGUCGAGC
rnacentral:rRNA from 1 species